UUAUCUUUUGCAUAUCAUAAAGAAUACUUUAUAAGCAACUUAAAGGUAAUAUACUACAGGUGCACUAUUUUUUUUUAUCUUCAUCUCACGUGUAUGUGAUUUUAUAUAUAACAAGGUUCUUGCAUACAGUUGAUUGUUACAAAGUAUAGUUCUAAUGUAAUUUUGCCUGUGUCAUGAUUUGUCGACAAAUGAUGGUAUAUUAUGAUGGACGAGUGGAAAUUUUGUUAAAUGGAAGCUUGAUGGACACCUGUUAAUGAGGAUAUACGUUCGGAAAUGAGUGUUCGCGGUAGGAAAUGAGGCUGAAAGCAUAUUUUAGAAUUAAAGGCGUCCACGCCCUGAUACAGCGGCGUGCCGAAUGAAAAAAGAAGUAACAUCGUAUAGGACCAAUUAUCCUUGUUGACUAAAUGAGGUCAAUAUUCAAGUGAGACAGAGAGGCAAUGAAAAAAACCUUAACGAGGCUAAUAGUGUAAUAAACCGACUUAUGAAUUCGAGACACGCACGCUGCUGCCGGCAGAAUGCCAGAGAUUCGAUGACCUUGCAAUCGUUUGCUAUACUUGAGAUCUUUCCAAAUUUAUCAGUGGCAAAUAACAAAAUUUCAUAAAAUCGUGCAAUUCAAUCAUUUCACAGAUAGUUCUUAUUUUUCUUUGUAUUAAACCUUGUAUUAAUUUAACCUUUGUAUUAAGCGACCCAAACAAUGAUACAAACAAGUUUCAGAGAAAUUCAUCAUUAAAAGAUAACUCAAUCGACCGAUGGAUGUGUACGCGUUCAUCCUCAUGCAGUUGCAAUGCGAUGCCAGCUUUGAUGGGAUUGGCGAGCAACCCUACCGGUAAUGCACCCUCCGUGACGUAAGCUUAACCCAUAGGUGAACAGUUUGCACGACGUUGUAACAUGAAAUAGCCAUUUCGAUCGUGUGGCUGGAAAAAAAAACAAGGCAACUAGGAGUAGAAAAAAGAAAGAAGAAACGAGAGUCCAUUCACGAGGAGUUUAGCUGGCCAAGGUCACGGUGCAACAAUCUUCCGGCUGUUGGUAUGCGAUCGGAUGGAAGGCGCAACGAAAGUAUGCGUGGGUGCACACUCUGGGUUCACCAUGGGUGCUACAACCCUUAACCUUUUCACGCAUUUACGCGGUCAUGUACCCCGUUGAUUCAUCUUUCUGAUACAACAAUUCAUGCUGCACAAUAUUUACGCAAUCAAAUUGAUAAAUAGUAGAAUUUUUGUGGCUUUCUUUUUUCACUUUUACGUUAUCAAGAAUUUUACGUUCGACCUAAAUAUUUAUUUGUACGUAUUGUAAAAAAUCUGCCACAUGAUUCGAGUAAUUCGAUCUCUUUUCAGAUAUUAAAGAUCGAAAUUUCUCGAUUAACCGUGACCUCCAGUUUCAAUGAAAAUGAAAUCCUGCAUAUUCUACAAUCGAUUACGCUAUAACCAAGUAUCCUGUCAAGAAUAUCAGCCUAUAGAGAUUAUUAAGAAUAUUUUAACCAUCAUAUUUUUUAUCUUAUAUUUUUUAUUCGUUGCAUAAUUUAUUAGGAAAAAAUUAUUUGCUUUUCACAUGAAUGUAUCCCUUCGCAGAGAACAGGACAGGAUAUUGAGUUUGACUUUCUCAUCUACAUUGGAACACUAGCUCGCAACGUACAACAGGGUGAAUAUCCGUCUUAACCGUUUACCUUGUUGAUAAGAGAGCGAGGACCGUUGAAAGGUCGCUUCACUGUACUCCAACCCUUAACCUUUGGCGCCAGGUCACUAGCUAUAAAUUAUCAUUUGCAACACUAAUUCGAUUACUCGAAUUGAAUAUUUUAGUUAGGAAAGAGCGUUGACUAUCAUUCUGAUAAAAAAUAAUACGCUAUGUAUUUUAUAUAUAAAAUUGAUACGAAUUUGUGGUGAGAAAAAAUGUAUUUCCAUUUUCCAACAGUUUCCACAUGGCAUUCAAUGCACGCGCGCGGCACUAUAAUUGGCAGGUGAUAAGGCUCGCUGCAUCGAUAAGCUGUUUGCGCGGCGAUCGUUGGGUUAAUUCGGCCGAUUAACACGAAACAUUUUUUUUCUUCCCGUAUCAGUAAUCUCGUGUGGCGUAUACACAACCCUGAUUUUUCGCGACGAUCGUUGCCUAAAUUAGCUUCGUGCACUUUGUUUAAGACGUUAAUAUAAAAAUUGCUCACAUGAAAAUCAUCCACAACCUACGACUGUUUGUAUCAUAGUGCCCACAUAGGCUCGAUAUACAAUAGAACAAAAGCGUUCCGCUCAAUCAUCUACGAAUUACUUAAUAUUUGAUAUAUUAAGCAGGGCUUUGAUGAAUUACUAUAAUUUCUAUAUAGUUAAAAGAAGGCUGGUCCUGACGCUUUGAAAACUAACUAGUUUCAUUCCUAAAAUAAAAAUGGUUGCAACUUUUAGAGUAGAUUGAUUAUCAAGAUUCAGUAAGAGAAAGAUCAAGGUUCUUUCUGAAAUCUUUUGAAAUAUAUUUUGCAGGAUAAUUUGAAAAUAAUAUAAUAAUGUAUGAUGGAAAUAAAUUAAUUUAUAUGGGUUUCUGUUACUAAUA